GACGAACGCUGGCGGCGUGCUUAACACAUGCAAGUCGAACGAUGAAGCCGGAGCUUGCUCUGGUGAAUUAGUGGCGAACGGGUGAGUAACACGUGAGUAACCUGCCCUUGACUCUGGGAUAACUGCGGGAAACUGUAGCUAAUACCGGAUACGACCCUCGGAGGCAUCUCCUGGGGGUGGAAAGAAUCUCGGUCAAGGAUGGACUCGCGGCCUAUCAGCUAGUUGGUGAGGUAACGGCUCACCAAGGCGACGACGGGUAGCCGGCCUGAGAGGGUGACCGGCCACACUGGAACUGAGACACGGCCCAGACUCCUACGGGAGGCAGCAGUGGGGAAUAUUGCACAAUGGGCGCAAGCCUGAUGCAGCAACGCCGCGUGAGGGAUGACGGCCUUCGGGUUGUAAACCUCUUUUAGCAGGGAAGAAGCGAAAGUGACGGUACCUGCAGAAAAAGCACCGGCUAACUACGUGCCAGCAGCCGCAGUAA
rnacentral:rRNA from 1 species